AGGAUGAACGCUGGCGGCGUGCUUAACACAUGCAAGUCGAACGAUGAAGGCUGGAGCUUGCUCUGGCUGGAUUAGUGGCAAACGGGUGAGUAACACGUGAGUAACCUGCCCCAGACUCUGGGAUAAGCGCUGGAAACGGCGUCUAAUACCGGAUACGAGCUUCCCACCGCAUGGUGAGGAGCUAGGAAAGUAAUUUCGGUCUGGGAUGGACUCGCGGCCUAUCAGCUUGUUGGUGAGGUAAUGGCUCACCAAGGCGACGACGGGUAGCCGGCCUGAGAGGGUGACCGGCCACACUGGGACUG
rnacentral:rRNA from 1 species